ACGCGUUGAACCUUACCAUCCUUUGACAUGGCAGGCUAACCAGAGAGAUUUGGUGUUCCCUUCGGGGACCUGCACACAGGUGCUGCAUGGCUGUCGUCAGCUCGUGUCGUGAGAUGUUGGGUUAAGUCCCGCAACGAGCGCAACCCACGUCCUUAGUUGCCAUCAUUGAGUUGGGCACUCUAGGGAGACUGCCGGUGAUAAGCCGCGAGGAAGGUGUGGAUGACGUCAAGUCCUCAUGGCCCUUACGGGA
rnacentral:rRNA from 1 species